UGGCUGUGGCGUCGGCGGCGGCGGCAUCUCUCUAUAUCGUAACAAGCGGCUGUCAACAAUAAUUGAAAGUCAAAUACUCGCGGCCUCUGUCUGCCUCCGCUUUCAGGUUGCCCUCAAAAAA